ACCUAGUUAGCUAGAUUGGUUUGGUAAAGCGUCUGCCUUGUAAGCGCUAGGCCGCGGGUUCGAUUCCCGCCCAGGGUG
rfam:Asian citrus Psyllid, Diaphorina citri - Florida Strain, whole genome shotgun sequence.